rnacentral:rRNA from 1 species
UACGAAGGGGGCUAGCGUUGCUCGGAAUCACUGGGCGUAAAGCGCACGUAGGCGGCUUUCUAAGUCAGGGGUGAAAUCCUGGAAGCUCAACUCCAGAACUAGCCUUUGAUACUGGAGAGCGUUGAAGUCCGGAAGAGGUGAGUGGAAGUCCGAGUGUAGAGGUGAAAUUCGUAGAUAUUCGGAAGCACACCAGUGGCGAAGGCGGACU